UAAUAUAGUAUUAAGCAGAAUCUUUCAUAGUUUCUUGGCAGUUGUCCACAUUGAACUGGAGAGCAUUUAUGCUAUUGACUCAAUGUUAGCAUAUGUAGAGGCAUUUCCUAGUGAAUGUUUCAUAGUCUUUUAUAUUAAGACAUAAAAAUUACAGAAAACGUUAAUUUAAAUGUUAAACAUGCUGAAAUAAAGCAGUUGCCUAAGUGGU
rnacentral:lncRNA from 1 species